rfam:Dipodomys ordii contig_66455, whole genome shotgun sequence.
GGUGGCUCAGUGGUAGAGCACUUGCCUUGCAUCCAUGAGGCCCUGGGUUCAAUUCCUCAGCACCA